AGAUAAUUCACAGUGAGAUUACCAUGAGCUCAUUAAAGUGCACGAACCCUCUGUUGGGCUUUUUACUGCAUGAAAACAAUUGAUUACUUAAAAAACGGUCCCACCCUUUCCUAAAAGCACACGAGUGUGUAUAUAGGCUGCUACCAACAGCUCACAUACACCCUGAAUAGGAAGCACAUCUCUCUGACGGACACAAUCUUUUUUUUGAAGGAGGAUAUCGCUUGCUGGACUUACAGAAGUGCAACAAGAUCGGUCAUUGUUAUCUGUGGAGAAACAUGGGAAACGAGAACUCCAAGAACAAAGAACUGCAGAACAGGAACGGCAGGAUUCCUGAGAAGCAUAUAAAUGGAUCAGCGAACGGCCUCUCUGCGAACCUCUCAUCUAACGGCUUGGAGAUUUCUGCUAACGGUGAGGCCGCAGUCCAGAAGAAUGGCGAGUCCUCUUCUUUAAAGCGUGCGACUGAACCAAAUGAUUUUGUCGUUGUGGAAUUAGACGGUAAAGCUGCUGACGCUCCAGUUAUUUCUGAAAUCCUUGAAAUCGUCAUCCACAAGGAAGAGGUCAGGGAAAGUGAAGGAGAUCAAACGGAUGUUAGUCUCCCUGCCACCAAUCUACAGACGGUGAGUACACUUUUCCUUGUUUGAAGGGUGAAUUCCAUAUUUGUCUCGUUGGCAACAAAUUCUAUGAAAAGAUUAAAAAAGCAAGUGUUGUCUGAGUUGCUUGGAUGCCUUGUUUAUUUGGACUCUACACACGUUCUACUGACAAAUAAGAGUUUAUCCACGACUGGAAAAGAAAUCCAGUUGUUACUCCUUGAGCAGUGUUACACAAAAACUAAAUGGCGCAGCAUUUUCAGAAAAUUAUUUAGCUGUUUUUAAAAAAUUGAACUGCAUAUUUUUGAGCCAAGUAGAAAGCUUUCCAUUUUUGAUAAAAGAUCAGAGACACGAUUAGAAGGGAAAUCAGCUCCUAUUAAGUAAAGGGACUGCAUUGAAGGAUUUGUUCACACAGGUUAAGCUAGAAUAAAUCCAGUCCAAUAUUUGAAGGUUUUCCAAUUUACAGAAAAAUCUGCAUGUCAGACUACCUCACAUGAAUUUAACGUCUCAAUUAAGCCAAAAUACAAAUUAAAAAAAAGAAAAAAAUAACCUAAUUUCUUUACUUAAUUGUUCUCAGUCACAAGGUAAUGAAACACAGGGUUGUCAUAUGUGUCCCGUAAUCAAAAACACAGUUGUUUUUUUAAAAAUCUAAACGCAAAUGGUUUUUUAUGAUCAAGGAGUCAACCUCAAGUGGAGAAGAAGCAGCCGCAGCGAUGAUCGCUGUGCACCUAGACAGCGUAGAGUGUCCGCUUCGAAAAGCUGAAACAUCAACACAAACAGACGGGACAACUGAGGCAGAUAUCUCGACACAAACGUAUAAGAACGAGGAAGUCGCAACCACCGAUAACGAGGUUCCUGUUGAAGAAGCAGUCUCCAUGGAGACUGGAUCAACUGAAGAAGACCCUCUAAAUGUGUCGGCCCGCGUCAUUGUUCAGGAUGACGGGGAGUCCUCCGACAACCAGGCCGCUCGGACCAUCAAUGAGGGGGUGGUCAUGUAUGAAAAUAUGGUGUUCAGACUGGAACGGGCAGAACUUGAUGGAACUGAGUCAAACAUCACUGCAGAACCAGGUUUUAACCCAAAAGUAUCCGAGAUUGAAGAGGAAACAGUUGCAGAGGAAAAUAACAUUGGAGAAACAUCGGCAUCGGAGGUCUAUUACAGCUUUCCUAAAGUGGUGGCAGAUUGUGUUGAGGUGGUUUUUGCGGAUGCGCCUCAGUCCACCGGCUUUGCUGCUGUGGACUCGUCAGUGCUUGCAGACGGAGUAGCUACUGGAGACAAUGGCGAAGGAGCUGGACACACGUCAGUCGAUGCCGUGCAGACUGAAACCGCCAAACAUCAGUCCACUGAGGCCCGGAAAGCAAAUGCCGUUCGUUCCUCAGCCACCGCGCUGAUGGAGACAAUCUCUGAGGUUGUUUGCGAGGCACCUGAUCCCGCACCAGCAGACCACGAUGCGCCCGCAGAGCAUUCUUCUGCCCGUCUUGCAGUAGCACUUCUAGUUAAGGCAGAAUCUGCCCAUGAGGAGGUCACCGCUGAUGAUGCUGUUGCAACGGAGAUUGUACCAGAAACACCUCAACAAGCAAAACUGGACGACGAGCCCUCAGAGAAGUGCGAUAGUUGCCCUGAGCAUGACAUCAUCACUGCAGAGGCUCCCAAUAAGCCUGCCAUCAUUGAGGAGCUUCCCGUGGAACCAGAAAGAUAUGAAGAAGCAGAACCAAGUCCCGUACUUGCCAAAGACAGUGCUGAGGCAAUGUGGGAAGCGGCAAUCAAUGCCCUCUCUGAAGACUUCAGAGAAGAAUCUAGCAGCCUGCCUCGGGAGGCUGCAGCGGCCAAAGGCUUACCUCUGAUAGAGGAGGUGAUCACCGCGUCAACUUUUGCAGGCCUUCCAGGGGGCCAAGAAGCAAGCAUUGCUGUUGCAGAGGAGCUUUUUAAGAGGGUCACUGCAGAGGCUUUAUCAAAUGCAACUGAAACAGUAGCAGAAGACGCCACAAACACUGGUGAGGAGCCUGCAGAUGUGCCGCCGAUGGACGCCACGGGAGAGCCCGAGCUUUGCGUUUCGGUCCAAGAGAGACUCAGAGACGAGAACGUCGCCCCGGCAGAAGUACCAGCCAAUUCCAGGAGUUUGAGCCAUCUCGAGCGCCGACCAAAGUCCAGCGCGCAGAUCGUCGCCAUGGAGACAAUUGAAGACGGGGCUGUGAGACAGAUAAUGCAUGAAACAGAUACUUCUGCGGUGGAUGUCUCCCAGAUUACCACUUUGGAUGAGGCUAUGUCAGAGAGUUUCGACGCUGUCCUUGAGGCCAUUGUGGAAGAAAUCAUUAACGAGGACGUCUUCUCAGCUGACGGCCGCCUCGUGACUUCAGACGAGGUGUCACCAGAGGCCUUUGUAGAGGAAGACGCUGAAGAGGAUGCAGAGAAGGAAUCAAGUGUGAACUCAUCAGAUCCAACAGUGGACUCACAAAGUGUCACAAGAACAGACAUGGAAGCUUUAGCUGUUAGUUUGCAGUCGGCGUGUAAAUCAGUUGUUGAAGAAUCGACAAAUAGGCCUGGUAGUUUAAUGCUUCCUUCACUAGGAUACAGUAUCACGGUUACUGUUCAUGUGGCGCCAAAGCAGUAAAAUCCUUGUCUGAACUUUUUUGUUGAAAAUGAUUGGUCUGCCUCCAGGAUGUAAUGUGUUAAAUGAUUGAUGCGAAAGUAAUUACAACCCAAUUGUAAAAUUAUUUGUGUUUUAUCAUAACAAGCAAGUCCCUCUGUUUUUUUAUGCUUUAUUAACACUUGCUGAUUUUCCAAUAAAAUGAAAAAUGAAACCGUUCAUGAUUUUCUUCAUCAUCUGUUUGCAUUCCUUUGGUCGGUGUCAGGUGACAAAUAAUACCUACUUUCAAAAAAGUAGGGCCACUAAUGACUUUGAAAAACAAUGAAUUAGACAUUUGAACGUUAGCAGAUUCACUAAUGAUCUUUAAAUCAGAGUUGGUCAACGAUAACCCAGCAUCAAAACCCAGCAAAGGUAUUUGCGUUUCCUGACAUUCUUUUCUCCGGGCAAAACUCUCACACAUUGUUGAAUAUCAAUGAGUGAGGGGUGGGACACACGCAUUGAUAAAAGGCCGAUUGUUGACAGUGCCCCGAGUAGGCAGAGGCAUGGUUGGAAUUGUGUACUCCCAUCUCAAUGCUGCGAUUAAGACCCUCACUGCUUGCAUUAUAAGCCACGCUGCUCUAACGCAAUACUCAAAGGCUAAUUCUUUGUGAUGGUGUAUAGGAGACAGCUAAGCAAAAGCAAGGGUCAGAAUCAUUGACGGAGCCAGAGAGUGUGACUCUAGACUCUGACGAGGGAAACCAGGAGGACAAUAACCCAGAAGAGAAUCCAGUUAUGAACUUCUUCAAAUCUCUAGUAAGUGACACAAUUUCAGAAUUAUGUGUGGUUUGUAUGCACUUUGUAUUUCUUAUUGCUUGUAAAAUUAGAUUCCGGGGAGUAAAUUGAAUAAUAAUUGCUUUGAUCAGACGUUUAAAAAAAACAAUCCACCUUUAUUAAAACCAGCUAUUACAGAAGGAAGACGACCGCUAAACAACGAUUACGUUAACUGGUGUUUGAAUUUUUACUGCAGAAAUUCAUGAAAACCCGUUGCUUUAACAGGUUUUCAACUCUUUUUCUUAAUAUUGUUAUUGUUGUUGAGGUAUAUAUAUAUAUAUAUAUAUAUGUUUAUUAAAAAAAAUGUUUAUGGCAGCAAAGGUAUCCAUGGCAAAAUGUGCAAUGACCACAGCGCCUGAUGGAGAAGCAUACAAGCAGCUAUUGUUUUGGCUCUUCAUAGUGCCGUCUUUGGGAUCCAUGCUGUUUUAAAGAGUUACCAUCGCACUAGCCCCAUGCUAAUCGAGUCUCUGAACAUGCGGGAAUGUGGGGGCCUAUUGUUCGGCCCAUCGCGUGAGCUCACAAGGGACGCCUGUGCGUUUGGACGUUGAGAUUUGUGAGGAUGGAGCGAGGGCAGGCCUACGCCGUCCCCGGAGCACAAUGGCUAUCACAAUGACAGCGCACGUACUGUAUGUGCUCUGUCGGGGGACCUCAGGGUGCCUCAGUCAGCUUAUCAUAAAGGCCCAUGUCUGCAUUCGCGCUGAUCCUGUUUUACACUGCAGCUCGACGCUUUCGUCAAAUUGAGAUUCAACGUAUUGUGUGACGUGAAUACAAGUGAUUUAAGGCGGUUAAUUGUUCUUUCCUUGUUGUACAGACGACUUCCAAAAUAACCAAAAAGGAAACAGCUGCUCCUGUUGCCAUAAAAGACCAGGUGACGCAGAUGUUUAUGAAGGAUUGUGUGAUUUUAAAUGAUUCAUUCAUUAUGACAGUACCACCAGGGGAUUUCCCAGCAGAGUUCCCAGUUAUAAGUUUCAAUAACCAGUUUUAUAUCACAAAUGUUUUUGUUAACAAAGCCAGAUCAGUGAGCUCAGUAAUGUAAUGGUUGAUUAUGUGUUGAAAUCAUUUUUUGCCACAUGCCUUGUAUGAAUUUAUGUUUGAUUUCUCUGAUGCCCAAAAACAUUUAACCAGUAGCUUCUCCAAACUAUUUAUAGGACAUUACAAGCUUUUUUGCAUGUUUUUUUUUGCAUACGUUUAACGUUAUUUCUCACUGCUUCCCUUUUUCUGUUGCAAAAUAGUCCCAGAAGGAGAACCAACCAGCAGCAACCACUACCGUGAGCUCAUUGCCCAAAUAGUGUUUUAUUUCCCUAAAAAGCAUAUGUUUGUCGGGCCAUAUUGGUUUCAGUUUAGUUUCAGAAAUUCUACUUUAUUUUCUAAUGUUGCAUACUAAUUCAAUUUGUGAUAGUUUAUGUUGGAUGAAUACUUAGUUGCUAAACCGAAUCAAUCACUGCUUUGUCAUUGUGUAACAGGCGUAUAGUGUUAAAGGUGACUCCGUGCAUUACUUUAACAACCUCUCUCUCUUGAAUAGGUCGCACAAGUAUCUGAGCCGCCUGCAGCGCCCAAAGGAAUGUCUAUCCCACCGCCACCUCCUCCAGAGCCACCAAAAAUGGAUAUCAAGGCAGAACCAGCUGCUAAACCUGUCAAGGCCACACCAAGAGAAGAAGCAAAAGCUGUUGCCAAGCAACCCCAGUCCUCCAAAGGAAAAUCAGCAACUCUAAGCAAAUUUUUCCGUUCAAAGGUAAAUUAACAGCGAAGACAAGACAAGAUGGUGUAGGUGAUUCAUGGAGACUUUCAGUGAGUCCACGGAGAAAUCUGAUUAUAACAGAAAUAUAUGUGAAUAUGAGGUACUGCUACGUGACGAGACAUGUGAGGUCCAGGGUGCUUCAGCAUGUGGAGACAAUGCCCCCUCAAGUUGCCAGCAGUGGUACAGUGUCACAUUAUUAUAUUCUCAAAGUGGCCGUGGCUCAUCCUGUUACUUACUGAACAAGAGCUGGUUUGUCUGGAAGAGGCUGAAACAGGACAACUUGCUGUUUCCAUAUCGGAACCUGCAGCGAUCGUGUCAGCUGAUAUGCACAUAGUUUUGAACCAUAUCCAGGCCAAUCAGAUUUUUGUUCUUUGCAAGUCUUUCAAAAUGUUGACUUUGCAGCCAGUUCCUCGGUCAAACGGCCUCGCCUUAGUGCAGCUGUUUCUACCACAGACCAUUUUUCCAUAAUACUUUAUGUUCCCAACAUUUAAAUUGCAUUAGUGAAUUAAUCAGUAACAUUGUGUUUCGUUUUGGGACGUACAACUAUCUGGCUUACUUGCCAAGAGUUUAGACGAGGGGAUCAAUACCACCAUCGUUUCUGUAAGCUAAGUAUGGAGUUAGAAUCGGACAAUUGGCCGAGAACAAAGGCUCUUUGUGUGCUUUGGAAGGAGCAGUACUGUCUUCCAGUAUUUAUGCUGUGCUAAGUUACGGUCAUGAGAAAGGUUUUGACCUGCCAACUUUUGGUGAAGUAUAAUAUUUUCCACAAAAAUGUCACAUUAUUCCUUUAACCAAUUCUUAUUAGUUAGCGUCCAUUGUCAGGCUAACAUUCAAAUUACAACAUGCAAACAUUUCUUUUCCUUUUCGGUUCUGUUGGCUUUUUACUAACAAUAACAUUUCCCCCACCGUCCUGCAGACAAACAAGGAGUCCCCACCAAAGCCAGACAUUGAAGUAGACGUACAACAAGUUGUAGAAGUAGAGGUAAUCCAGAGAGCAUGCCCAAUCUUCUCAGAUGUAUUCAUGGCUUGCUAAUGUGUUUAAUGCACGAGUGCAGUGGUUCUUGUUUUGAAUCAUCUUAUAAUUGGUUACAUUUGCGGUCAGAAAAUUCGGCCAGAUUAAGUACAUUUCAGCAUGUUUCCUUGUCCAUUUUACUUUGCAUCUCAGAAUAAAAAAGUAGCUUUGUUCUGCAGGAGACACCAGUGGAAGCUCCUGAGCCAGUUGUUUUAGAAGUCAAGGUAAAUCGAAGGACAGUUGUUCAUUUGGGGCUUAAGUCUUUUAUGAGGGGUAGAUUAUGUGAUUAUCUUGGCAUCACCAUGUACUACACUGCAAAAAAAAAUUGCAUUCCAUGAAAUUGACAUAUUGUUGUUCAUCUGCAUUUGCUCAGAGUGAAAAUAAUGUUGACCCCCAUGACUCAGCAGAGCAGGUGGCCCAGCCUGUUGUACAAGAGCAGGUAAAUUUCUGUUGCAUUUCAUGCACCAUGCAAAAAAGGGAAAUAAAUAAUUCCCCUUUCGUGCAGAUGGUAGCAGAUGUACCACAGCCCGUGGUAGCGGCGGAGAUAAAUCAACAGUUUGGGAUCUUCUGCUUUCAUGCUUCCUUGUCGAGAGUUAGAUGAGAAGAACGCUCUCAUCUGCCUCUGUUAAAUUUGAGGCGUCAGCUAGUAGCAGAUUAGAUUAGAUUAGUUUAGUUUAGCACAGAGGCUUAAAUGUGCCUGUCUGUUAAACAGCAUUGCUCUGUCCGAUGCUGAAAAGAUUCACUUAUUGGCAGUUUUUAAGCUAUUUUUUGUUGGAUAAACAAAUUAAAUGGUUUAUUAGUGUUAAAGAGAAACAAAUGGUAACUUUUGCAUGGAGCCCAAAGAUGGUUUUAAGCUGUUUCAAUUCCUAAUGAAACUUCAAGUCAAAAGUCUCCUGCAUCAUACAGCAUAGGAAAGAUAUUAAAAACGGUCUUCUCAUCACUUGGCAAUAAAGCAAAUUCCCUCAUUUCCCUAUGGGUCAAUCAUUCAAGGGAGGAAUCUUCAGUGGAGACAUUCACUUUACUAUUUCCUUUUAUUUCUUCCCUUGCAAGCAGUAAUAUUAUAUACCUAUGUGCAUGAUUCUGCGGAUCUCUACACUUACAGAUUCUUUCACCUCCUUUCUGCUCUGACUCUGCCUGGAAUCUCUGCCCUUACCUCUUCGUUUUUUCACAGGUGGCAAAUGCUUCCCCGUACUCCGUCCGCCUCAAUGCUGGUCCUAACGCUUCCGUACCUCAUGUGUAUUUUCUUUUCUGCUGUUUUGAUAAAAGAAGGUGGAUUCUUCAAAAGCUGGCACUUUGGAGGCUGCAGCGAAACCAGAACCGCCGCCGCCUGUGCAGGAAGCACAGAAAACUGCCUCAACAUCCUCCUUCUUUUCUCUCUUCAAGCCUAAAGCCGCUGAUCCCAAAAAGGCGAGUCCUGCCCCGGCUGCAGCCCCAGAGACAGUGAAAGCCAAGGAGGAACCCAAAGCAGCAGCCAAGUUAUCCGAGGCCGUGGUAGAUAAUAAACCUGCUUCAGUGGCCUCCCAGGCCGCAGGUGAUGCAGCCAAGGCGCCAAAGAAACUGGAGAAGAGGAACUCCAUCCAUCAGUUCUUUAAAAUUCUGGGCCAGAAGCGUAACUCGACAGAUGCCGGGAUCCAGACAGAGACGCUCGCUGUCGCUCCGGUACCCGAGAAGGUCAAAUGAAACCAAAAGCGAGAGUGAAGUUUCCCUGUACAGACUCCUUCUCUUUUUCUUGCCCUUACUCGGUUUUCAUGUGCCUCAUCUGUCUCAUUAUUCUUUAAACUCUUAUAGAAUUGCUUUAACUACAUUUUGAUUUUGUUAUUGUUCAUAAGUUACAAUACGCACGGAAUAGUGAGCGGAAAGGCAAAGGCAAGUAGUGAGAAAGACACACAGCAGGUAGUUGCACAAGUGGUGAUUUGAAAUGGUCCAUGGUGAGGUUGUUGAGAUAUUUACAGUAUAUACAGUACAUAUUGUGUUUGGACCCUGUGCCUUGACAAGUAUAGCAAAAUCAGUGUGAAAUCUUUUCUACAGACAUUUAAUGUAACUUCUCUCUGUUCUUGCACAUGAAACAGAAGGUAAAAGGCAUCGCUUUUAGCUUUGUGUUUGUCAAAAAAAAACAUUUAAAAAAGGUUCUAUUUUUUACAGUUCACACAAAAGAAAAUCACGCAGCUGUGGCCGUGCAGAGGUUCCCACGAAAUUGCAUCGCACUUAAAUCCAUAUGUGAUAUAUUAACAUUAACAGCUCUGAAAAGAGCAAAUAAGAAGAGCAUCUUAGUGUAACAAGAAGCACUUAGCAGUCAAGUAUCUGUAUCGAGGGUGAUGGGGAACUGGCUAUAUGCGUAAAAAAAUGCAUCUGAGAGAUGUGUCUUUGUGCUACGUUUUUACUAAUGACUCACAGUUGAUUAGUUUUACAUUUGAACUUUGUCUCAUGUAACUCAGUGGAAGUCUUGUAGCGUCAGUCAGCAAUUAACAUCACGCUUUUGGUGGCCUUGCUUGAUGUAUGCAUGUGUGUGCGUGUGUGUAACUUCAGCUAUCCUGAAGACAAUAAACCUGUUUAUCAUUCGUUGUAUCUUCAUGUGUGUACGCGGCAACUGAGAAACCCCGUGAAGAAUAACCGGCUGUUGCAUUCGGCAUCUGCCAAAAUAUGCACCUCAGUAAGUUUGGCAAAAAAAAAUAAAAAAUCACACAUCAAAUCUUAUAAUAAAUAUUUUAAUUCACACUAAACUAAACUCAUAAGGCGUGACACAUGAGUCCUACCUUGGGCGUCGGUGGAAAUACUGCCAGCCUUACUCACCCAUGGGUUUAUUUUGUUGGCUGAAAAACAAGUGACGGUGAUGACGGGCAGGGCCGUACAAACCAAAACUCACCUCAGAGCCGCCCGCCGUCCGCCCGCCCGCCUGAUGGACGGAGAGCCGUCUGCGGUCCGUCACUACCAAAUAUUACAUUCAGAGACACCUUAGAGAUAAAAAGAUGUUAAACGAGAUCUAAGGAAUUGUUUCAGGUAAAGCAAAGCCUCCCAUACUCUAUUUUCAUUUAUGAGGUAAUUCCAAUGAUGGAGGAUGUGUUUUAAAUAGUAUUAUGUCAUGAGUCGCGGCCCCCUUAAAGGCAUAACUCACGCUGCACCUUUAUUAUCAACGAAACGCACUCUUUUUGCGUUACCCUCUGUGAUGGUUGUGAUCAUUUUAAAUUGUGCAUCAAAGUAAUUGACAUGGCACUUAAGGGGAAACAGUGAGGUAUUGCCUGCACAGUUUAAUCCAUGUGGUCAAGUCCUCUCCUCUGGGGAUUGUUAAGAGGAAUAUGUGACUCUUUGCCAACUGUAUUGCUGUACAGUGUGAAGUUCACCACUAACUACCAUUCUCCUAAAAUAAAACACUGGACAGUACCCACAGUGC
ensembl:lncRNA